UGCCCCUUGGCCCAGUUGGUGAAGGCGCACGACUGUUACAUUCUGGUAACGAUUGUUCAUCGUGAGAUCGCAAGUUCGAACCUUGCAGGGGCAG